rnacentral:lncRNA from 1 species
CUCUUGCAAUGAACUCUUUUGCAAUUAACUUUGAAGGACAUGGGGCAGUCAGUCCACCUGCAAGCAAAGAUACAAAGUCUGAGACCCCUGAAAGAGAGAACGCCUUGCUCCAUUCACAUUCACAUCCCUGCCGCUUUUUGUUUGUUUGUUUGUUUGUUUUUGUUUUUGUUUUGAGACUGAGUCUUGCUCUGUCGUCCAGGCUGGAGUGCAGUGGCACAAUCUCGGCGCUUUUUUCUUUUUUUAGAGAUAGGGUUUUGCUCAGUUGCCCAGGCUGGAGUGCAGUGGUGUGAUUAGAGCUCACUGAAGCCUCAAACUCCUGGUCUCAAGCGAUCCUCCCGCUUCAGCCUCCCAAGUAACUAGGACUAAAGGCAGGCGCCACUAGCCCGGCUAAUUUUUUACAUUUCUGGUAGCGAUGGGUUCUCGCUGUAUUGCCCAGGCUGGUCUGGAACUGUUGAGCUCAAGCGAUCUGCCCGCCUUGGCCUGCCAAAGCGCUGGGACUGCAGGCGAGCGCCGCGGCCCCCGUUCCCCAUCGUAUUAUUAAUGGAUGCCAUUGUGCAGUGUUGUCCUGAAGAGAAAAAGCUUCGCGGACCACACGAAAUCGCGGGGUGAGUGUUCCCGCCUACCUCCAUGUCCUCCCGCGUCCAGCGGCUGCGGGCUUUCCCGAGAGCCUUCCCCAGGGCGCCUUUCUCGUCCUCUCAGCGUGGGGAUGAGGGAAUUCAGCGGCGGUUGCAGGCAGUUGAAGCGGGUGCGGCGCUAGUGCAGACGGCGUCACCGUGGAAAGGGCGGCAGCCGCGCGGGAAGGCCGGGCGCUGAGACCGCAUGCGCAGCAGUGCACUGCCCCCGAGGGGCCGAGGCCAAGUCGCGCGAGAGGCGCCAGGGCGGCUGGGGUGGCCGGGGAAAGCCAGGCGUUCCACCCUGCCGGCGUCCACGCGGAAAUGCGGUGAUGGCCGGCGUCCCACACACGAACUGGCAGAGGCAGCGGUGACUGCACCGCCCCAGGGCUGAGGAAGACAGAGUGUUCCGGAGAAACAGUUCUUGAGCAAAGAGAGAGAAAGGCUCCACUGGCAGAGGAACGGCAGAAAAGAAGAGAAGAGAAGAAGCAGCCAGAUGUCAGAGAAGCAGCUUGACUUCAGAGGGAUAGCUUGACAGUGGGACUUCAGAGAGGAGCCUGGCCAGGGAAAGCCAGACUCCAGGGGAUGACCACUUUCCCACUCCAACCCCUUUCCAGCUCCCCUUCCCACUGAAUGCCACUUUCAUCAACAAUAAAAUCCUCUGUAUUCACC